rnacentral:misc_RNA from 1 species
CUUCUUCUUCUUCUUCUUCUUCAAAGACCAAUAGUUUUCACAAUUUGAUCCAAACCCAUUUUGUUUUGCACCUCAUAUUUCCUUGUUCUUGAAGUCAGUCAACAGAAAGAAAUUCAAAAAAAAAAAUCUAUACAUAAAUAAAAAUUUAGAAAGGGAAAGAAUUAUUAAAAAAAAAAGAGAAAAGAAAAUUAUAAGACCCUUGUGGAUUUGUUUAGCUACAAAGUCCUGUGAUCAUCGAUGCACCAUUGGUAGUGCGGGGGGAUCUUCUAUUCUUAUUUUCUUGCUUGUGAUUGACUGAUGUCCCUCUAGUCUUGAGAGAGAGAGAGAG